GGAGGGCUCAAGCGUUAAUCGGGAAUCACUGGGGCUUAAAGGGGUGCGCAGGCGGACAGGUAAGUGUCUUGUGAAAUCCCACGGGCUCAACCGUGGAAUUGCUCGGCAGACUGCCUGUCUUGAGCUCGGCAGGGGCCGUCGGAACUCUAGGUGGAGCGGUGAAAUGCGUAGAUAUCUAGAGGAACGCCAAAGGUGAAGACAGACGGCUGGGCCGACGCUGACGCUCAGGCACGAAAGCGUGGGUAGCGAACGGGAUUAGAUACCCCGGUAGUCCAUGCCCUAAACGAUGUGCACUAGGUCGAGGAGGUUUUGACGCCAUCUCGGCCGCAGUAAAAACAUUAAGUGCACCGCCUGGGGAGUACGGUCGCAAGGCUA
rnacentral:rRNA from 1 species